AGCGAACGCUGGCGGCAGGCCUAACACAUGCAAGUCGAACGAAGUCUUCGGACUUAGUGGCGGAUGGGUGAGUAACACGUGGGAACGUGCCUUUAGGUCCGGAAUAACUCAGGGAAACUUGUGCUAAUACCGAAUGUGCCCUCAGGGGGAAAGAUUUAUCGACGUUAGGGCGGCCCGCGUCUGAUUAGCUAGGUGGUGUGGUAAAGGCUCACCAAGGCGACGCUCAGUAGCUGGUCUGGGAGGAUGAUCAGCCACAUUGGGACUGACACACGGCCCAAACUCCUACGGGAGGAAGCAGUGGGGAAUCUUGCGCAAUGGGCGAACGCCUGACGCAGCCAUGCCGCGUGAAUGAUGAAGGUCUUAGGAUUGUAAAAUUCUUUCACCGGGGACGAUAAUGACGGUACCCGGAGAAGAAGCCCCGGCUAACUUCGUGCCAGCCGCCGCAGUAAAAC
rnacentral:rRNA from 1 species